rnacentral:rRNA from 1 species
AUAAACGCUGGCGGCGUGCAUGAGACAUGCAAGUCGAACGGACGAAUGGGCUUGCUCAUUCGUUAGUGGCGGACGGCUGAGUAACGCGUAGGUGACCUACCCCGAAGUGGGGAAUAACUGCCCGAAAGGGUGGCUAAUACCGCAUGUGGUGAUGCGUUCAGUCGCAUCAUCAAAGCCGCAAGGCGCUUCGGGAGGGGCCUGCGUCCGAUUAGCUCGUUGGUGGGGUAACGGCUCACCAAGGCGACGAUCGGUAGGUGGUCUGAGAGGAUGAUCACCCAGACUGGGACUGAGACACGGCCCAGACUCCUACGGGAGGCAGCAGUCGGGAAUUUUGCUCAAUGGGCGCAAGCCUGAAGCAGCAACGCCGCGUGAGGGAUGAAGGCCUUCGGGUUGUAAACCUCUUUUGACAGGGACGAUGAUGACGGUACCUGUCGAAUAAGUCACGGCUAACUACGUGCCAGCAGCCGCGGUAAUACAGUAGGGUGGCUAGCGUUGUUCGGAUUAUUGGGCGUAAAGGGCGCGUAGGCGGUUCGUCAAGUCGCGUAGUGAAAGCCCAGGGCUCAACUCUGGAGGUCAUUCUGGAUACUGCUCGGACUUGAGUGUGGGAGAGGAGAGUGGAAUUCCCGGUGUAGCGGUGAAAUGCGUAGAUGUCGGGAGGAACACCAUGUGGCGAAAGGCGACUCUCUGGACCACUACUGACGCUGAGGCGCGAAAGCUAGGGGAGCAAACAGGGAUUAGAUACCCUGGUAGUCCUAGCCCGUAAACGAUGAAUUCUAUGCUGUGAGCGGUACUCCAAUCCCGAUCGUGGCGAAGCUAACGCGAUAAGGCAUCCGCCUGGGGAGUACGGUCGCAAGGCUAAACUCAAAGGAAUUGACGGGGGCCCGCACAAGCAGGUGGAGCAUGUGGGUUCAAUUCGACGCAACGCGAAGAACCUUACCAUGGGCUCGAAAUGUACAGUGACACCGGAGUGAAACAGUCGGCUUCCCGCAAGGGACUGGCUAUAUAGGUGCUGCAUGGCUGUCGUCAGCUCGUGUCGUGAGAUGUUGGGUUAAGUCCCGCAACGAGCGCAACCCUUACUUGCCAGUUGCCAUCAUUCAAUUGGGAACUCUGCGAACCGCCCGGAUAACGGGGAGGAAGGUGGGGAUGACGUCAAGUCCGCAUGGCCCUUAUGUCCUGGGCUACACCACGCUACAAUGGCGGUACAACCGGGCGGCGAAACCCGUGAGGUGGAGCCGAAUCCUUAAAAGCCGGUCCUCAGUUCGGAUCGUAGGCUGCAACUCGACUGCCGUGAAGCCUGGAGUCGCUAGUAAUCCGCAGAUCAGCAACGCUGCGGUGAAUACUGUUCCCGGGCCUUGUACACACCGCCCGUCACAUCACGAAAGUGGGUCGUACUAGAAGUCGGUGGGCUAACCGCAAGGAGGCAGCCGCCCAAGGUAUGAUUCAUGAUUGGGGUG